rnacentral:rRNA from 1 species
AGUAAUCGCAGAUCAGCAUGCUGCGGUGAAUACGUUCCCGGGCCUUGUACACACCGCCCGUCACACCAUGAGAGUCGAUAACACCCGAAGCCUGUAGUCUAACCAUAAGGGGGACGCAGUCGAAGGUGGGAUUGAUAAUUAGGGUGAAGUCGUAACAAGGUAGC